GACGAACGCUGGCGGCGUGCUUAACACAUGCAAGUCGAACGGAAAGGCCCUGCUUUUGUGGGGUGCUCGAGUGGUGAACGGGUGAGUAACACGUGAGUAACCUGCCCUUGACUUUGGGAUAACUUCAGGAAACUGGGGCUAAUACCGGAUAGGAGCUCCUGUUGCAUGGUGGGGGUUGGAAAGUUUCGGCGGUUGGGGAUGGACUCGCGGCUUAUCAGCUUGUUGGUGGGGUAGUGGCUUACCAAGGCUUUGACGGGUAGCCGGCCUGAGAGGGUGACCGGCCACAUUGGGACUGAGAUACGGCCCAGACUCCUACGGGAGGCAGCAGUGGGGAAUAUUGCACAAUGGGCGGAAGCCUGAUGCAGCAACGCCGCGUGCGGGAUGACGGCCUUCGGGUUGUAAACCGCUUUCGCCUGUGACGAAGCGUGAGUGACGGUAAUGGGUAAAGAAGCACCGGCUAACUACGUG
rnacentral:rRNA from 1 species